GGGUCUCUGCGUUUAAGGAACUCAAACGUGUUUGCUGGACACUAAGAGUUAAGAUGUUGUGGACCGGGCGGGCGGGGAGGUGUGGGGGGAGCUUUCAGGAGAAGGGAGGAGAAAGAUGGGAGAAGGAGGGAGAAUGGUGGGGGAACGACAGAUUUCCAGCUUCUACGACACUUUGCCUAAAUUAAAAAGCAACCAAUCGGAACGGCCGGAAGGGGGGCCGCGCGUCCUAAGCCAGUCAUUCUAGGGUUGUCAAUCACACAGCGGGUAGCCAAUCAGCGGGGGCCCUUGCGCUCGACUUCCUUGUAUUUGGGAAAGUGUGGUGGUGGGUGCGCGCUCUCGGCGGAGGGUAAACAUUCGGCAGUCCCUGCUCUGUGAGGGAGGGACAGAGGGAGAACUGUCAGAUCGGAAAGAGAGAAAAAGGGAGUGAAGGGGAAGAGAGAAAAAGAGAGAGAGAAAGAAAAGAUAGUGUGAGAAAGAGAGAGAGAGAGAGAGGAAAGAGAGAGAAAGAGAAACGAGGAGAGAGAGCAAGAGAAAGAGAGGGCGCAAAGCUGCUGCUACAACUCUCCAGCACCACUACCACCACCACCAACAACCACCACCAGUGCACUCAGCAAGCCUUGCAACAACUUCCCCACUGGAGUUACUGUGUAUCAAGGAUACCCUAUAUGCACACACACACCUACACCUCUACCAAUGCACUCUUCCUCCUCCUUCUCCAGGCAACUGCUGGGAUAAAAAAUAAAACACCAAACCAAACCAUCAUCAACAAGGAAAGAUGUCUCACCAGACUGUGACUGUUGCGAGGAGGAUGAAAAAGGACUCUUGUUUCAAAGGCAACAAAGUGCUCCAGCAAUAGCAACUUUGAAGAAAUGCAUCAUCGCAGGAAGUUUUCGUAGGACAGCAACAAAA